GUCCAUUUGAGCAACUUGAAUUCCUAGCUACCCUCGAGAAGCUUCAGGAUCCUUCUGGAAAACGAAACUGGAAGCCUGCGCUGGAGGGGAGCUUGCAACAUGCCAACGUACAUUGUCGAUAUUCAAGGAGACUGUAGCAAAAUGCCAUGUUUCCCUAACUUUGUUGACCGUGGAUACCUUUCCCAGGGGUUUUGGCUCUAUGUCAGACAAACUCAGUUUUAAAAUCAGACUUCACCACCUACUGCCUGAACUUGGUGCCGUAGGGCUUUCUCUGGACACCAGAAACACCUUCCUCUGAGUCACUUUCCAGCGUCAGCUGAGCAGCCCGUGCUGCCAGCCGGGUUCCCGGACACCUUUUCCAUUGUGCAAUCUCCCUCUGUCAGAACGCACAUCCAUCUACGUAAGCAAUGAGAGCAAGACCCAUGGCUUUGCUCAUCCUAACACACUAGAAGAUUCUGGAUUCCAUAGUUACCAGGUUCAGUUUCUGCCGCCACACAUUCAGAGCUUCCGAAGUCAUCUUUUUCUGGAGUAUGUGUAUGUGUGAGCGUGUGUGUAUGGCCACACACACCGAGAAAGUGGAAGAGACGUAUCCAGCUGGUCUGGACUAACCCAUUCUUCUGUCAUUACUCUUCAUAAUGACACCGUGUGAUUUCUUUCAGCAAGUGCAGCUGGCAGCACCUGGCCUGCCUUUGAUGGAUGCCAUGCGCAGAAAUGAUGAAAGGCUUUGGCUCUUACAAAUGACAAUACCCCUCAAAUGAGCUGAAUGCUCGCCGUGGAGGUAGGGCAGGAAAAAGUCACGAAUUGUGUUGUUUUUUUUCUCCUUGUCCAGCAAAGCCCUAGCAUUUCUCACUGCAUUACUCUUGGCUUAAUUCCAUAUUUAGAUCCUUGAAUAAAAAUUCUACAAGAUGGGGCACUUGGGUGGCUCAGUUGAUUAAGUAACUGCCUUU